rnacentral:rRNA from 1 species
GAUGAACGCUGGCGGCGUGCCUAAUACAUGCAAGUCGAGCGAAUGGAUUAAGAGCUUGCUCUUAUGAAGUUAGCGGCGGACGGGUGAGUAACACGUGGGUAACCUGCCCAUAAGACUGGGAUAACUCCGGGAAACCGGGGCUAAUACCGGAUAACAUUUUGAACCGCAUGGUUCGAAAUUGAAAGGCGGCUUCAGCUGUCACUUAUGGAUGGACCCGCGUCGCAUUAGCUAGUUGGUUUGGUAACGGCUCACCAAGGCAACGAUGCGUAGCCGACCUGAGAGGGUGAUCGGCCACACUGGGACUGAGACACGGCCCAGACUCCUACGGGAGGCAGCAGUAGGGAAUCUUCCGCAAUGGACGAAAGUCUGACGGAGCAACGCCGCGUGAGUGAUGAAGGCUUUCGGGUCGUAAAACUCUGUUGUUAGGGAAGAACAAGUGCUAGUUGAAUAAGCUGGCACCUUGACGGUACCUAACCAGAAAGCCACGGCUAACUACGUGCCAGCAGCCGCCGUAA